rnacentral:rRNA from 1 species
CCCUUUGGGGUGUGACUGCGUACCUUUUGUAUAAUGGGUCAGCGACUUAUAUUCUGUAGCAAGGUUAACCGUAUAGGGGAGCCGCAGGGAAACCGAGUCUUAACCGGGCGUUAAGUUGCAGGGUAUAGACCCGAAACCCGGUGAUCUAGCCAUGGGCAGGUUGAAGGUUGGGUAACACUAACUGGAGGACCGAACCGACUAAUGUUGAAAAAUUAGCGGAUGACCUGUGGCUGGGGGUGAAAGGCCAAUCAAACCGGGAGAUAGCUGGUUCUCCCCGAAAGCUAUUUAGGUAGCGCCUCGUGAAUUCAUCUCCGGGGGUAGAGCACUGUUUCGGCUAGGGGGCCAUCCCGGCUUACCAACCCGAUGCAAACUGCGAAUACCGGAGAAUGUUAUCACGGGAGACACACGGCGGGUGCUAACGUCCGUCGUGAAGAGGGAAACAACCCAGACCGCCAGCUAAGGUCCCAAAGUCAUGGUUAAGUGGGAAACGAUGUGGGAAGGCCCAGACAGCCAGGAUGUUGGCUUAGAAGCAGCCAUCAUUUAAAGAAAGCGUAAUAGCUCACUGGUCGAGUCGGCCUGCGCGGAAGAUGUAACGGGGCUAAACCAUGCACCGAAGCUGCGGCAGCGACGCUGAUGCGUUGUUGGGUAGGGGAGCGUUCUGUAAGCCUGUGAAGGUGGCCUGUGAGGGUUGCUGGAGGUAUCAGAAGUGCGAAUGCUGACAUAAGUAACGAUAAAGCGGGUGAAAAGCCCGCUCGCCGGAAGACCAAGGGUUCCUGUCCAACGUUAAUCGGGGCAGGGUGAGUCGACCCCUAAGGCGAGGCCGAAAGGCGUAGUCGAUGGGAAACGGGUUAAUAUUCCCGUACUUGGUGUUACUGCGAAGGGGGGACGGAGAAGGCUAUGUUGGCCGGGCGACGGUUGUCCCGGUUUAAGCGUGUAGGCUGGUUUUCCAGGCAAAUCCGGAAAAUCAAGGCUGAGGCGUGAUGACGAGGCACUACGGUGCUGAAGCAACAAAUGCCCUGCUUCCAGGAAAAGCCUCUAAGCAUCAGGUAACAUCAAAUCGUACCCCAAACCGACACAGGUGGUCAGGUAGAGAAUACCAAGGCGCUUGAGAGAACUCGGGUGAAGGAACUAGGCAAAAUGGUGCCGUAACUUCGGGAGAAGGCACGCUGACAUGUAGGUGAAGUGAUUUACUCAUGGAGCUGAAGUCAGUCGAAGAUACCAGCUGGCUGCAACUGUUUAUUAAAAACACAGCACUGUGCAAACACGAAAGUGGACGUAUACGGUGUGACGCCUGCCCGGUGCCGGAAGGUUAAUUGAUGGGGUCAGCGCAAGCGAAGCUCCUGAUCGAAGCCCCGGUAAACGGCGGCCGUAACUAUAACGGUCCUAAGGUAGCGAAAUUCCUUGUCGGGUAAGUUCCGACCUGCACGAAUGGCGUAAUGAUGGCCAGGCUGUCUCCACCCGAGACUCAGUGAAAUUGAACUCGCUGUGAAGAUGCAGUGUACCCGCGGCAAGACGGAAAGACCCCGUGAACCUUUACUAUAGCUUGACACUGAACAUUGAGCCUUGAUGUGUAGGAUAGGUGGGAGGCUUUGAAGUGUGGACGCCAGUCUGCAUGGAGCCGACCUUGAAAUACCACCCUUUAAUGUUU